rnacentral:lncRNA from 1 species
GUCCACUUAUAAUAAUGCAAUAAAAUAAAAACACUGUGUAACGCUGACUACUCUGCAUGGAGAUUUUGCAUCAGGCAGCUCACAGACGCUGGAAAACCCACAAAAAUAAAUCAGCCAUUUUGAGACUGAAAUUGCAGGGACUUUGCUGCAUGUCACCAGGUCCUUGCCUGUGGUUUGGCUGUUUCAAAAUGGAUAGCGUCCCCAACUGCAUUAUAAAGAAAUGCGGAAGCAAUGAAACAUUCUGCAUCCUGUUUUAACAGUUCAUGGUGGGAUGUUACACCACGGCAAGCUGGGUGACUGUGAAAACACCAGUAUGCAGUAUUCAGUGAACAUGUCCUCACUGAUGUUGUCAGGCUACUCCAGUGUAAGGAACUCCACAGACCCUCUGCCGAGAUCUCUGAUCAUAGGAUUAUCUGUAUCAGUUCCCAUUGUCUCGGUAGCUAUUGUGGUGUUGCUGGUGUGGAUCAUUUGCAAGCGCUGCAGAUCUGAUGACAGCUCUUUGGUAGAGGAGUCGAACGGUAGAGGAAAAGAUUAUGGGACUCUGUCAAGUCAGACGUCGGUGUCUUCUGAGCCAGUCUAUGAGAACUAUCAAGAUGGGUUAAUCUACCCUUUCUCUGGGAGACGUUCUACUGUAAAAGGCUGCUCAACAUACAAACAGGAACCUGUCUAUGAAGAAUCCUCUUGGGACUCACUGCAAAGCCAAAUAUAUGUCAAUGUCCCAUAUUUUAAAACUUAACACCUGAGCACAGUCUUCAUAUUACUCUCUUUCUGUUACUUUCCUACAUUAAAAUCUUUGUGUUUCCAUUUAUGGUCAUUCACUUAUACACCAUACCUCCAUGAUCAUCCUCAAAAUAUCAUCCCCCCUCCCUCUGAUGAAUUAAUUUUGUCCCGCUAGUUUAUGAAGUGUUACGAUUUUCUGGCUGUUAAAUAUAUUUAUCUAAUUAAACUGGACCUCACAUUGAUGUUGAGCACUUUCCCUGUCAUUAAAACAUCCUUAAAGCAACUCAUGCAAAUAUGCUUGAAUUUGCCUUGAAAUUGGAUCUCUGGGUCCCUCUAGCGGUAAAAGUUAUACUGCUCAGAAUCAAUUUGUUUUUUUGGUCUGAACUUUACUAUACAUUAGUCAAAAUACACUGACUCUCAUCUGAGACAGAGCCAGCUGCAUAUCAGCUAAUAGGUCCUAAAAUCGCUUCUUAAUUUUAGACCUGUACCAUUGAUUUCUAAGAAGUUAAAAUUUGCCAAAACAAAUAUUGCUCAUAGCUCGUGGGUGGUAGCCUAAGAGGUAGCCACUUGACUAAGAACCAGAAGAUCCAGGUUCAAACAGCCCUACUAUCAUUGUGUCCCUGAGGAAGACACUUAAUCAUGAGUGUCUCCAGGAGGAUUGUCCCUGUAACUACUGAUUGUAAAUCGCUCUGCAUAAAGUCAUCUGAUAAAUGCUGUAAAUGUAAAUGCAUGAUGACUGUCAUCUGAAGGUGAAAAUGGUAAAAAGACAGCAAUAAAAUGUCAUUCACAUCACA